rnacentral:rRNA from 1 species
ACAAGUAGUAGGGAAAGGAAACUGGACCGACCCUUCGGGGAGCUUGUACAGGUGCUGCAUGGCUGUCGUCAGCUCGUGUCGUGAGAUGUUCGGUUAAGUCCGCUAACGAGCGCAACCCUCGCUGUGUGUUACAAGUGUCACACGGAACUGCCGGUCAUAAACCGGAGGAAGGUGGGAUGACGUCAAGUCAGCAUGGCCUUUAUAUCCUGGGCUACACACACGCUACAAUGGGAAGGGACAAUAGGUUGCGAAGCCGCGAGGCGGAGCCAAUCCAGCAAAACUUCCCUCAGUUCAGAUUGCAGGCUGCAACCCGCCUGCAUGAAGUUGGAGUUGCUAGUAAACGCAGGUCAGCCAUACUGCGUUGAAUACGUUCCCGGGUCUU